GAAACUGUGAAUGGCUCAUUAAAACAGUUAUAGUUUAUUUGAUAAUGGAAAGCUACAUGGAUAACCGUGGUAAUUCUAGAGCUAAUACAUGCUAUCAAACCUGACUCUUGGAAGGGUUGUAUUUAUUAGAUAUUAAGCCAAUAUUCCUUCGGGUCUAUUGCGACGAAUCAGAAUAACUGAUCGAAUCUCAAAUUUGAGAUAAAUCAUUCAAGUUUCUGCCCUAUCAGCUUUCGAUGGUAGUGUAUUGGACUACCAUGGCAGUCACGGGUAACGGAGAAUUAGGGUUCGGUUCCGGAGAGGGAGCCUGAAAAACGGCUACCACAUCUAAGGAAGGCAGCAGGCGCGUAAAUUACCCAAUCCUGAUUCAGGGAGGUAGUGACAAGAAAUAACAACUCGGGGGCUUUUAGCCUUACGGGAUUGCAAUGAGGACAAUUUAAACCACUUAGCGAGGAACAAUUGGAGGGCAAGUCUGGUGCCAGCAGCCGCGGUAAUUCCAGCUCCAAUAGCGUAUAUUAAAGUUGUUGCAGUUAAAAAGCUCGUAGUUGAACUUCAGGCUGUUCGCAGUUAGGCUUAUACCUGAUUGAGAGCAGUCUUCCGUCUGCGAACUGCAUUCGGCCUUCACUGGUCGGUGUAGGGAGUAGGCAUUUUACUAUGAAAAAAUUAGAGUGUUUCAGCAGGUCUUUGCCCGGAUACAUUAGCAUGGAAUAAUGGAAUAGGAUUCAAGUCCAUUUGAUUGGUUAUUGGAUUUGAAUAAUGAUUAAUAGGGACAGUUGGGGGCAUUAGUAUUUAAUAGUCAGAGGUGAAAUUCUUGGAUUUAUUAAAGACUAACUUAUGCGAAAGCAUUUGCCAAGGAUGUUUUCAUUAAUCAAGAACGAAAGUUAGGGGAUCAAAUACGAUCAGAUACCGUAGUAGUCUUAACUAUAAACUAUACCGACUCGGGAUCGGACAGAUUUUUAAGGUCUGUUCGGCACCGUAAGAGAAAUCAAAGUCUUUGGGUUCUGGGGGGAGUAUGGUCGCAAGGCUGAAACUUAAAGGAAUUGACGGAAGAUUACCACCAGGAUUGGAUUCUGCGGCUUAAUUUGACUCAACACGGGGAAACUUACCAGGUCAAAACUGUAGUGGGAUUGACAGAUUGAGAGCUCUUUCUUGAUUUGCAGGGUGGUGGUGCAUGGCCGUUCUUAGUUGGUGGAGUGAUUUGUCUGGUUAAUUCCGUUAACGAACGAGACCUUAACCUGCUAACUAGUCCUGGAGUGAACAACUCCACGGUACUUCUUAGAGGGACUAUGCGGUACCAAACGCAUGGAAGUUUGAGGCAAUAACAGGUCUGUGAUGCCCUUAGAUGUCCUGGGCCGCACGCGCAAUACAAUGACACGUUCAGCAAGUUUUUCCUAACUCGGAAGAGUAAGGUAAUCUUUAUAAUACGUGUCGUGUUAGGGAUCGAUCUUUGUAAUUAUAGAUCUUGAACGAGGAAUUCCUAGUAAGUGCAAGUCAUCAACUUGUACUGAUUACGUCCCUUGUCUUUGUACACACCGCCCGUCGCUCCUACCGAUUUCGAGUGAUCCGGUGAACCUUCUGGACUGAGAUUGGUCUCGAACCAGUCGCGGGAAGUUAAGUAAACCUUAUCACUUAGAGGAAGGAGAAGUCGUAACAAGGUAGCCGU
rnacentral:rRNA from 1 species